GGAAGGUUGAUUGAAUGAUGAUAAUCAGUAAAUUAAUUUCAACCGACAGGUUCAAAUUAAGUGUAAAAUGUCAAUGAUUGGUUUUAGGUGUGUGUCUGCUCCCUCCUUCUCUGUAAAACUUGGUUCUUUUUUGUGGGGAAUAAACAGUGAUUUAAUUGUCAGGUUCUUGUUUACUUUGAUUGUCAUUCAAUGCGCUCUUUCUUGGUUGUAUCUCCGUGAAAAGGCGUGGACCUCAUUUGAGAUCUGGC